CAGCAGCCGCGGUAAUACGGAGGGUGCGAGCGUUAAUCGGAAUUACUGGGCGUAAAGCGUACGCAGGCGGUUUGUUAAGUCAGAUGUGAAAUCCCCGAGCUUAACUCGGGAACUGCAUUUGUGACUGGCAAGCUAGAGUGUGGCAGAGGAUGGUGGAAUUCCCGGUGUAGCGGUGAAAUGCGUAGAGAUCGGGAGGAACAUCAGUGGCGAAGGCGGCCAUCUGGGACAACACUGACGCUGAGGCACGAAAGCGUGGGGAGCAAACAGGAUUAGAGACCCCCGUAGUCCCUGUCUCUUAUAC
rnacentral:rRNA from 1 species